CCUAGAGUUGUAGGCUUUGCCUGCUAUCUCUUACCCAUGUCUUUUGAGUACCUUACGUUUCCUCGGCGGGUCCGCCCGCCGAUUGGACAAUUUAAACCAUUUGCAGUUGCAAUCAGCGUCUGAAAAACUUAAUAGUUA
rnacentral:misc_RNA from 1 species